UCAAGUUAGAAAGGGCGUACGGAGGAUGCCUAGGCGCUAAGAGCCGAUGAAGGACGUAGAAAGCUGCGAUAAGCUUCGGGGAGCCGCAAGCAGGCCGUGAUCCGGAGAUUUCCGAAUGGGGCAACCCACUUGAGGUCAUGCUCAAGUAUCCCGCAAGGGAGGGGAACCGGGGGAACUGAAACAUCUAAGUACCCCGAGGAAAAGUAAUCAAAUGAGAUUCCCGCAGUAGCGGCGAGCGAACCGGGAAAAUGCCCAAACCAAGGGAGGCAACUCGCUUGGGGUUGAGGACCAACAGAAGUUUGCACGAUUUAGCUGAACUACCUGGGAAGGUAGGCCAGAGAAGGUAAAAGCCCUGUAAGCAAAAGAUCGGGUAAAUGGUUGGGAUCCAGAGUACCACGGGACACGAGAAACCCUGUGGGAAGCAGGGGGGACCAUCCUCCAAGGCAAAAUACUACUUAGCGACCGAUAGCGUAUAGUACCGUGAGGGAAAGGUGAAAAGCACCCCGGGAGGGGAGUGAAAUAGUACCUGAAACCGUAUGCCUACAAGCAGUCGAAGCACCAUAAGCGUGUGACGGCGUGCCUAUUGAAGAAUGAACCGACGAGUUACAGUGGCAAGCGAGGUUAAGCAGGAGAUGCGGAGCCGAAGCGAAAGCGAGUCUGAAAAGGGCGCUAGUUUGUCAUAGUAGACCCGAAACCGGGUGAUCUAUCCAUGGCCAGGGUGAAGCGCGGGUAAAAGCGCGUGGAGGCCCGAACCCAUUAGCGUUGAAAAGCUACGGGAUGAGUUGUGGAUAGGGGUGAAAUGCCAAUCGAACCCGGAGAUAGCUGGUUCUCCCCGAAAUAGCUUUAGGGCUAGCCUCAAAGGUAAGUAUCGGCGGUAGAGCACUGAUUGGGCUAGGGGCCUUUCCGGGUUACCGAACCUUGUCAAACUGCGAAUGGCGAUACUUUAGACUUUGGGAGUCAGACUGCGAGUGCUAAGAUCCGUAGUCAAAAGGGAAACAGCCCAGACCGUCAGUUAAGGUCCCAAAUGUCACACUAAGUGGAGAAGGAUGUGGCGUUGCUAAAACAACCAGGAUGUUGGCUUAGAAGCAGCCACCAUUUAAAGAGUGCGUAAUAGCUCACUGGUCGAGUGGCGCUGCGCCGAGAAUGUCCGGGGCUCAAGUGUGAAACCGAAACUGCGGCUUGGCAGCUUUGCUGCCAGGGGUAGGGGAGCGUUCUAUACGGGGCGAAGCAUGACCGUAAGGACAUGUGGACUGUAUAGAAGAGAGAAUGUCGGUAUGAGUAGCGAUAAGACAGGUGAGAAUCCUGUCCACCGAAAGCCUAAGGUUUCCUGAGCAACGCUCGUCGUCUCAGGGUAAGUCGGGACCUAAGCCGAGGCAAAAUGCGUAGGCGAUGGACAGCUGGUUGAUAUUCCAGCACCACCAAAAGAUCGAUUGAGCAAUGGAGUGACGCAGGAGGGUAGGCAAGCGCGUGAUUGGAAUACGCGUCUAAGCCCGUAGGAUGAUGUGCAGGCAAAUCCGCACAUUGCAAGUCCAAGAGGUGACGGGGAGUUGUAGAAAUACGACGAACUUGUUGACCCCACACUGCCAAGAAAAGCUUCUAGCGAGAUCUGAGGUGCCCGUACCGUAAACCGACACAGGUAGGCGGGAAGAGAAUUCUAAGGUGCUCGGGAGAACCCUCGUUAAGGAACUCGGCAAAAUGUCCCCGUAACUUCGGGAGAAGGGGAGCCAGCCGAUGUGAAACUUAUACAGUGUAAGCAAUGGUUGGCCGCAGAAGAGAGGCCCAAGCGACUGUUUACCACAAACACAGGUCCCUGCUAAGGAGGAAUCCGACGUAUAGGGGCUGACGCCUGCCCAGUGCCGGAAGGUUAAGGGGAGAGGUUAGCGCAAGCGAAGCUUUGAACUGAAGCCCCGGUGAACGGCGGCCGUAACUAUAACGGUCCUAAGGUAGCGAAAUUCCUUGUCGGGUAAGUUCCGACCCGCACGAAAGGCGUAACGACUUGGGCACUGUCUCAACGAGGGACCCGGUGAAAUUGAAAUACCUGUGAAGAUGCAGGUUACCCGCGACUGGACAGAAAGACCCCAUGGAGCUUUACUGCAGCCUGACAUUGAGUUUUGGCAUGUAAUGUACAGGAUAGGUGGGAGACUAAGAAACAUGAACGCUAGUUUGUGUGGAGUCAACGUUGGGAUACCACCCUUUACAUGCUGAAAUUCUAACUGAGGAAGUAACGAUUUCCAGGACAGUGUCAGGUGGGCAGUUUGACUGGGGCGGUCGCCUCCUAAAAAGUAACGGAGGCGCCCAAAGGUUCCCUCAGCGCGGUUGGAAAUCGCGCGCAGAGUGCAAAGGCAGAAGGGAGCUUCACUGCGAGACGGACAGGUCGAGCAGGGACGAAAGUCGGGCUUAGUGAUCCGGUGGUACCGCAUGGAAGGGCCAUCGCUCAACGGAUAAAAGCUACCCUGGGGAUAACAGGCUUAUCUCCCCCAAGAGUCCACAUCGACGGGGAGGUUUGGCACCUCGAUGUCGGCUCAUCGCAUCCUGGGGCUGAAGUAGGUCCCAAGGGUUGGGCUGUUCGCCCAUUAAAGCGGUACGUGAGCUGGGUUCAGAACGUCGUGAGACAGUUCGGUCCCUAUCCGUCGCGGGCGUAGGAGAUUUGAAGGGAACUGCCCCUAGUACGAGAGGACCGGGGUGGACGAACCAAUGGUGUACCAGUUAUCGCGCCAGCGGUACAGCUGGGUAGCUACGUUCGGAAAGGAUAAACGCUGAAAGCAUCUAAGCGUGAAACCAGCCUUAAGAUGAGAUCUCCCAUGGAAUAAUCCAGUAAGACCCCUCAGAGAAGAUGAGGUAGAUAGGCCAGGUGUGUAAGUCCUGCAAGGGAUUAAGCUGACUGGUACUAAUCGGUCGAGGGCUUGACCUA
rnacentral:rRNA from 1 species